rnacentral:lncRNA from 1 species
UGAGGAGGCUUAGGUUUCAAACAUCUUUCACUGAGGAAUUAAUUUUAAAGAGACACACAACAAUAAAACAUGAACUGAGUCCAGACACCAUCAUUCAGGGCAAGUUUUACCCUCUGAAACUGGCACUGUGCCAGCGUGGAGCCAGGUGCCUCUCUUGGAUCUGAGUCAAGUGCCCUGCGGCCACCUAUGCAGCACUCAGGUAGGAUCCUGAAAGUCCUUCACCUCCAGCUGCCCAUUCGAUCACUAUUUCAGGUCCCGCCAGAGGACUCCCAGCUGGCUGGCUGGGGUCCAGCAGGUCAGGCUGGCUCCUCCCAUCAUCUGUGCUUCUGGAAGGAGGACAGGCAGGACUGUCAGGACAAGAGAAGGCUAUUGGACUGCCUUGUUUGCUUGGAGCUCACCUCAGAAAGGUUUUCAUGUGUGACUAUGGACAUCUAUCUCUUUGGACAUCAAAAUGUUUUCUACAGGAAAGUACCGGACACCUGUUCAGUAAAACCCAGCCCACUGUUUGAUGCAGCUUUGAGCAGCUAGAGGAAGAAGAGUUUCCCUCUACUCGCUGACGGAAAAGGAGAGGAGCAAAUAAGGAGUCAGUUAUAGCACAGAAAAUCAACCGCACCAGGAGAGGCAGUAAAUGUUUCUUACUUUCCAUGGAAGGGAUGUUUGCAUCUUCAUGAAUCCCGGGACAAAGGAAAGCGAGUAAGCAACGUGGUUUGCCAUUUAUUUUUUGAUCUGUCCAGGAGGAGGCACAUAUCUUAAUGUUAUUUAGCAAAUAAUAAUAAUAAUAAUAAUUUAAUUAAGCUUAUGUCAGUAGAAAAAGAAAGAAAAUCAAUGCCUAGAACUGUACCAUUGAUUUUAAAGGAAGAGAAAGGGGGAAUUUUUUUUAGUGGUUAAGAGUGAAACAGUGUGAUCUCUCUAUCUCAAAUUUUCCCUCCAUUCCUCCCUCCCUCCCUCUGCUCCUCUUACAAACACUUAUGAAUGUCUGUUACAUGACAGAUUCUGCGCUACGUAUGACAGAGUACAACACAUCAGCAAUGAGCUCUGCCCCCCGUAUCCCCAUUGGUUUAUUACAAACUUCAGAUAGCCAUUGUAGUGUCCUAGAUUUAUCAUUUUAAAAUCAGGUAAGACUGACAUUCCCAAGUAACUUAACAGCGACUUUGCAGUUUACAACUCCAAGACUGGACCAUGGGCUCAUGAUUCUCUGUCACCAUCUAGAGACAAUUUAUACAUAUUGCAGGGCCAGUUCCUGGAAAACUGUGUAUGAAAUCAUCCCAGAAGUUACGGCUUUGCAAGUAUUUAUCAGCCCUAAAAAAGAGACUGGACAUCUACAAAUGAAUGGAACUGCAAGUUUUGAUCUUCUAGAUCUAGAACUAUGUAAGAAAUGAGUCUUGGUUUCUGUACCCAAUCAUGGAGGACUUGAAUCUAUGGAGAGCAAGAUUGACUGGGGUAUGGAAGAACAGCUAUAAAAUCAGUUACACACCACUUACUUUAAGUUCAAGAGGAGCCCUCUAGUCUCUCAACAAAAUGGGCACUCAACAAAAAAUGUCACAGAAUAGGACUGGGAAUCUGUACUAUUUAUCCAGGUUCUCGCCUAGGGGAAUUUUACCCACCAGGAAACAUUUGGAAACCUCACAACAUUUUGUUGCAUUUUGGGGGCUGCUACUGGCAUUUAGUGGAGAGAAGCCAGAGAUGCUGCUAAACAUCCUAUGUUUAUAAUGCACAGGAUGAUAACCCCUACCACAAAUGAUUAUCCAGCCUAAAUCUCAGUACUACUGAGGUUGAGAAACUCCACAAUUGAGCAUAGAGCAUAGUUAAGGGUGGUUCUCUGACUUCAACCCUGACCAUGGCGAGUAACCUAUAUUAUUAACCCUAAAAGAGGAGGACCAGAGAAAUAUGGAUAAUUUCAUGCAAAUGUAUCUUAAUGGAGAGACACAAAUCAGGGCCAUGGUUAUUUUUAGCUGAGUGUGGACAAGCCCUUUACCCUCCAGUUUCCUUCCGUAUUCACCUGAUGAUGUUGCUGACAGUGCUGUUGAUCCCAGUCUCCUGGGAUUUUAUUCAGCCUGUUGUUUGGUGACGUGACCUCCAGCAGUGUUUUACUGCACAUCUUCGACGUCCAGUUUCCUAUGGUGUCCAGUUCUUCACGGAAUUACAUAAAGCACUUAAGUCACUUGUGUCUGAAUCACCCAAAAGUGCUCACUGCAAAUGCACGCUUGGGCCGUACACCAAAUCCAUGGAGUCAGAAUCACAGUGCUUCGUGGCCUGGAAAUCUGCAUUUUUAAGCUAGCAUUACAGGUGAUUUUGACAUACAUUCAAGUUUGACAUAGGAUGGAUGAAAUCACAGAAAUACACCAUCAUCACUUCUUAAAGUCCACUUAUAAUGUGCUUCGAAAAAUACAUUCACAUACCCCUUAGGCUAUCCUUUUGAUGUAGCAUGCUGAUUCCUAUUUUACAGAUUAUAAAACGGGCCACAGAGCUUAAACAGAUGAAGUAGGGAAACCCAAGUGAUUUGUUUAGCCCUGAUGUUCUGUGAGGACUUGCCUCAUGUUCCUUAGGCAGACAUAUCACCUUCUCUGCCUCUGCAGCCGGGGUUUACCUCUUCCCGGUCAUGUUCAAUAAAACCGACUAUGUGUAUGGAGCUAUCACUUAAUCGAGGCUUGACAUGGACCUCAUGUUAAUUAUUUCAGUACCCACAGGACUGAGCAGAGUAACACAUCUACCUCCACUGCCACUACCCUGGUCCCAGCAAGACACUGUCAUUGUGCCCCUUCAUGCCAGCAACAGUUGCCUAGUUUGUUUCUGGCCCUGCCUCAGCACGUCCAAUCCCUACCCUUGCUCAAAAAAUGAUUCGCAUUAUUUUUUUAUUGGACGUGAUGUUGCCUCCUACACAUACACAAACCCCCAUUCAUUUAAAUCUAAUGACUUCCAACGUGCUUCGCCCCAGCUUACAAGGUCCAGCUGACCCAGCAACUGCUGUGUUUUCUUCUUCCUCUGGCCUGUAACAGUUUUCACGUGGCAAUCACUUAACUACCUCGAGACCUUCAUUUCUGCUGUGCCCCCUGACCUAACAUGCAAGAUCCUACUCCCCUCUUCCCUCGUAAAACCGAUCCACUCUCUGGCCUUAUUUAAGUGUCAGCGCCUAAGAGAUGCCUUGCACGUGUAUGUGUGCGUGUGUGUGUGUGUGUGUGUGUAGACAUCUAAAUUAGAUUCUGCUGCCAUCUAAUUUAGGAGACUAUUCUUUUCCUUUUAGUAUUUGUGUUCAUUUUGCUUCUAUUACUGUUGUCGAGCUAUCCAAUCAGAUUCGUUUCCACUGGCCCGUGAGAAUGUAUUUUGUUCACCUCUGCAAACAGGGAUCAAAGGAUCCAAUAAAUGUCUUGAGUAAAUGAACAGGCACAUAGCAAACUGGAUGCACAUUCCUGGUGAUGGCGUGCACUGUUUGUUAUAACUGAUUUCUGUGGGUUUGGGUAUCUGGGGCCAAGAUUCAAUCUCGAAGAGUGGGAAGCACGGUCACCGUGAGAAGAGAGGGAGAGAUCCGGGAGAAGAGGGAGGCCCCCGCGUGCCAUGAGUUUUUACAUGCUGCAGACAGUGACAGGCUCAUUGUUCUGGUCCUCCGGGCUGCCUCAGAUUUGCUGACUCUGGGAAGCUAGGUUAUCUUGUGCUCAUCUGAGCCUCUUCUUCCUCAUCUUUAUCAAGGAAUUAAUAAUUCCCACCUGAAAAGGGUAGGGCUUGAGGCAAAUGCGAUACAGCAGGGGAUAGCUCCCAGCACUUAGGAGGUGUGGAGGACGCUAUCUUGACUCUUUGCCAGAAGAGUUGAAAAUGAGAAGUCUGCACAGAGAGCGAAGAAGUCGUGCCACUCACCUGAGCCUUUCCUCUUCUGAACUCAUCUCCCCAGUGCGCUUAAAUUACGUUUUCCAAGCCUGACCCUGGGCGCUCCCCUCCUUCUCACGGCUGUCGGUCCCUCCCUCCCCAUCACUCCCACCCAGCCUCCCCGCCCCCUUCGCCCCCUCCCUCGGAGUUGGAGCCGGGAAUCCCACGCCCUUGCACCAGCCCGGGGGCUCGGACGAGCCCGGGAGCCGCUGGUCGCCAAUCACCGCGCGGUGGAGAGGCGGGCGCUCGGCUCCGGCGCGCUGGGGGAGCCAGCUGGCGCUGCUUUCCCCGUAGCCUCAGACGCUCACAUCGACACAGACAGACUCACAGACGGGCGGGCAGGCACCGACAGAGUCUCUCAGCCGUUUGCGCUCCAGUCCCGGCCCAGGGAGCACCCCGCACCCCCUGGGGUGCCGCAAAGGGCAGCUCGGCAGGCCCGCGCCGGGAGAAGGGAGGGCGCGCAGGCAGCCGGAGGAGGGGAGGUCCCAGCGCGCCUCCGCUGCGAUGUGAACGGCGGCGGCUCUCACCUGGAGCCGCACCUGGGGCGCCGAGCUCCGGGGCCGCGGAGAGAAUGCUCGCCGCCCGUGCGCUCCGCCUGCAGCGUCUGGCCACCCGCAGC